UGACCUCGGAUCAGGUAGGAAUACCCGCUGAACUUAAGCAUAUCAAUAAGCGGAGGAAAAGAAACCAACAGGGAUUGCCUCAGUAACGGCGAGUGAAGCGGCAACAGCUCAAAUUUGAAAUCUGGCCCCAGGCCCGAGUUGUAAUUUGCAGAGGAUGCUUUUGGCGCGGUGCCUUCCGAGUUCCCUGGAACGGGACGCCAUAGAGGGUGAGAGCCCCGUCUGGUUGGACACCAAGCCUCUGUAAAGCUCCUUUCGA
rnacentral:rRNA from 1 species